rnacentral:tRNA from 1 species
GGAGGUGCGAGAGUUCCGGUGGGCUCCGCGGACUUCAAAUCCGUUGGGCGGCGUAGCGAUACGUCGUCGGUGGGUUCGACUCCCAUGCACCUCCGCCA